rnacentral:rRNA from 1 species
UGCAGUCGAGCGAGAACCAGUCCUUCGGGAUUGGGGAAAGCGGCGAACGGGUGAGUAACACGUGAGUAAUCUGCCCUCGGCACCGGGAUAGCCCGGGGAAACCCGGAUUAAUACUGGAUAGCCUUUCGAGCCUUUGGGCUCGUCAGAAAAGGUGGCUUCGGCAUCCGGCUGAGGAGGAGCUCGCGGCGGAUUAGCUUGUUGGCGGGGUAAUGGCCCACCAAGGCGACGAUCCGUAGCUGGUCUGAGAGGACGAUCAGCCACACUGGGACUGAGACACGGCCCAGACUCCUACGGGAGGCAGCAGUGGGGAAUCUUGCGCAAUGGGCGAAAGCCUGACGCAGCGACGCCGCGUGCGGGAAGAAGGCCUUCGGGUUGUAAACCGCUUUCAGGAGGGACGAAGCCACUCGGGCUAAUAGCCCAGAGGGUGACGGUACCUCCAGAAGAAGCCCCGGCUAACUACGUGCCAGCAGCCGCGGUAAUACGUAGGGGGCAAGCGUUGUCCGGAUUUAUUGGGCGUAAAGCGCGUGUAGGCGGCCAGGUAGGUCGGCUGUGAAAACUCGAGGCUCAACCUCGAGCUGUCGGCCGAAACCAUCUGGCUAGAGUCCGGAAG